rnacentral:lncRNA from 1 species
AAAACUUCUCUAGCUGCUGUGUCACAAAGAUACUGGAAAGGGGCAAGGUGAAGGAGGAGACCAGCAGAGCAGCCACGGCCGGGACAGUGCAGAGGAGGGAAGAUGACACAGCUGUGAGACAUUUUGGGAAAUAUGGAAACCUGGUGGAGACUCAUAUAAAAAUGGUGGAUAGGAGGCAAGACUAACUUGCAGCUCCCAUUCGGAUGGACAGAGUAGCAGGUGGAAACUCACGUGAACUUUCGCUCUAAGAACUACCAAGGGAACAUACCAGGAAAGCCAAGAGAAUGAGAAUCCACAGACCCUUUAAAGGAGGUGGAUUGCCACCGCGGGCUGCGUGGAACUGCCAAGGAACUAGUCUUGCUCUAUUGCCCAGGCUGGAGUACAGUGUUUCUACCUUGGCUAACUGCAACCUCCACCUCCCAGGUUCAAGCGAUUCUCCUGCCUCAGCCUCCCGAGUGAGACCAUUAUUCUAAGUGAAGUAACUCAGGAAUGUAAGUAACUCAGGUAUGGAAGUAACUAAGUGAAGUAACCCAGGAAUGGAAGUAACUCAGGAAUGAAGUAAUUCAGGAAUGGAAAACCAAAUAUCAUAUGUUCUCACUCAUUAGUGGGAGCUAAGCUAUGAAGAUACAAAGGCAUAAGAACCAUACAAUGGACUUUGGGGACUCCGGGGAAAGGGUGGGAGGGGGCAACGGAUAAAAGACUAUGCAUUGGGUACAGUGUACACUGCUCGGGUGAUGGGUGCACCAAAAUCUCAGAAAUCACCACUAAAGAACUUAUUCAUGUACAAAAACAUUAAUUAAUUUUUUUAAUGUAAAAAAAAAACAGAGAUAUGGAAACCUUUCCAGUAGCCCCAUCAGACUCCUCUCAUGUCUCAUUGCCCAGAUUUGGGCCACAUGCUGAAACUGAGACCAGUCACUGGUUCAUGAAAGAGGAUUAGCCUGAUUGGCCUAGACCAUCCGUGGGUCCAUAUGUGGUCCUAUUUUGCACAUGAUAAGCAUGCAGUUUUAUCAUAUGGAAUUUACCAGGUAAUUUUGACAGCACCUAUACCCUGUUCAACAGAGGAAUCCACUGUUCACAUGUUUGGAUGCCAUAGCAAAGUCAAAUAGCUAUAAAAGUUUCUAAACACUCUCCGUUUCUAUACUUAUUACACAGCAGUAGUAAAUAAAUAGUUCGCUGCAGAACAGCACUGCUCAAUGGACCACACUUUGAGUAACACUGGCUUAGACUGCUCAGAAUCACCUCCUACACCUAGGAUGGAGUCAGCUCCCUGACACAUGUGAAGCUAGGGUGGAGAACUUAGAAAAUCAGGGAUAUGUUGUCAAGGCACAAAGGCAGAAAGGAAGCUGGGUAGGCAACUUGUAGUUCAUUACACUGCACUUCAACAACCAGCUGAGAGCGGGUCACCAUUCAUACACAACUUUGAACACAACUCCACACACUGAGACGGUGUCCUCACUGCAUACAGCCGCCUUGUCCUUCUCUAAGGCAGAAUGAGAUAAUACUCCUAUUCCUGACUAGAAGCAAAGAAUCUGGCCACAGGUGGUAGGGAGGGAAAAGAUUAUUUGGAGUAUCUGGCCUGGGUUAGUUAGGCUAGGCUAGGCUGCCAUAACAAACAACUCCAAAUUCCCAGCAGUUUACGACAAUAAUGGAUAAUUUCUCACCCAUGCUACAUGGCCACUGUGAGGUGGCUGUGGCUCUGCCCCACAUCUGCCUUAUCUGGGGACCCAGGAGGAUGGGGCAGCCUUUAUCUGGAACGGUGCUAAUUUUGUGGCGAAGGGGAAAAGAAUAUAGGAAGCCACAAGAUGAUUCCUUAAGCUUUUCCUAGAAGUAUCAAUCUUCACUUCCCUCACAUUGCAUUAGCCAUAACAAGUCACAUGGCAAAGCCUGAAGUUAAUGGGACAGAGAAGUAGAAUCUUCCCUAACGAGGACCAUGGACAUUUUUGAACAAGAUCACAAUCUCUCAUGGCCCCUUCCUGAGCCCAGGUGCCACAUCCAUGGAGAAUGGUUUUUUUCCCUACAUCAUCUAGAUUGGAAAGUCUUUCCUGGUUGAAGACACCAUCGAUGUUUUGUUGUGACUCUCCUCACAGAAUAAAUACUCCGAGGUGGCUUUUCCCAGCGAAAUAAAUACAGAGGUGCAAAGUGUUGGGGGUGGGGGGUGCUGUGUACCUACUAUGUUCUAGAUACUCUGCUAGAUUCCUUCCACAUGGUUUAUAAACAUUCUUACAGUCACCCUCUGAAAGCAGGCAUAACUUUACAGCAGAGGAAACAGGCUCAGGAAUAGUGCAUAACUUGUCCUAUCUGUUAAAGCUAGAAAAAACCAUGGAAAUAGUGAUUGUUUAUACUAUCAUCAGUAUUAUUAAAAUGACUGCCUUUUAUCAAGAAUUACUCCAUACCCUGUAGUGUUAUUUACUUCACUUGGAUAAUCUCAUUUGAAUUUUACAACAAUCUUAUGGCA